rnacentral:rRNA from 1 species
UACGUAGGGGGCAAGCGUUGUCCGGAUUUAUUGGGCGUAAAGAGCGUGUAGGCGGCUGGGUAGGUCCGUUGUGAAAACUCGAGGCUCAACCUCGAGACGCCGAUGGAAACCCUCCAGCUAGAGUCCGGAAGAGGAGAGUGGAAUUCCUGGUGUAGCGGUGAAAUGCGCAGAUAUCAGGAAGAACACCAGUGGCUAAGGCGGCUCUCUAGUACGGUACUGACGCUGAGACGCGAAAGCGUGGGGAGCGAACAGG